AUGCGGUUGGCUCAGCUGGUUAGAGCAUCUCGUUGAAACCGGGAGGGUCCGCGGUUCGAAUCCGUGACCGCCCACCA
rnacentral:tRNA from 1 species